CACGUAGGGGGCGAGCGUUGUCCGGAAUCAUUGGGCGUAAAGAGCUCGUAGGCGGCUCAGUAAGUCGGGUGUGAAACCCCCAGGCUCAACCUGGGGACGCCACUCGAUACUGCUGUGGCUAGAGUCCAGUAGAGGAGUGUGGAAUUCCCGGUGUAGCGGUGAAAUGCGCAGAUAUCGGGAGGAACACCAACGGCGAAGGCAGCACUCUGGGCUGGAACUGACGCUGAGGAGCGAAAGCGUGGGUAGCAAACAGG
rnacentral:rRNA from 1 species